UACGUAGGGGGCAAGCGUUAUCCGGAUUUACUGGGUGUAAAGGGGGCGCAGACGGCGAUGCAAGCCAGGAGUGAAAGCCCGGAGCCCAACCCCGGGACUGCUCUUGGAACUGCGUGGCUGGAGUGCAGGAGGGGCAGGCGGAAUUCCUGGUGUAGCGGUGAAAUGCGUAGAUAUCAGGAGGAACACCGGUGGCGAAGGCGGCCUGCUGGACUGCAACUGACGUUGAGGCCCGAAAGCGUGGGGAGCAAACAGG
rnacentral:rRNA from 1 species